CUCUGAUUGGUUCACCUAACCCCGCUGACUUCAGGCACAACUUCUAAUUGGGCCGUUCUGCUUCUUAUUGGCCUCGUCGCAGACGCCUAGCAGUCACCCACAGGCCUUUGCGGCCUUGGCACCUUCCUGGCGUCCCCUUGUUCAGACCUGCGAAUUCCCUCUCACCCUCUUCAUCCGCUGAAGGAGGCAGAAUCCCGGGAGCGCUCAUUUUAAGAGGCUGAAGCGAGAGAAGAUGGGGACACUGAGCUCAGAGACGGAGGGGACCCGGCCACCAGGCACAUAGAAUAAAGAGCUGAGCUUGGAGCUCGGCCUCUGGACACUGGAUCCCAGGGCUCCUACCCUUCCCCUGCUGUCAGCAGGUCCCUCCCACAACAGCCACAGCCAAGGGUCUCCGGAUGUCCCAAGAUGGAGGGAGACGUCCAUACCUGAAAUGACGCAGAUGAGCAGGAAACAGGCCGGGCAGCGGAUGGCCCUGGAGUCCAUGGUGCUGAAGCCUGGAGCGGAGAUGCAGAACUUUCCCUUGGAGAUCGAGGUAAACUCAGAACUAGAAUUCUGUCUUGGAGAUCAGCAAUACACUCCCAGCUUCAAAGAAGCCUCCUGAAGAUCCAAAUGCUGUUAAACCUACAACUGAAAGACAAGCAAGCCGUAACUCUUAUGGAAGAAGCCAGGCACUGAGAGAAGCUGUAAGGGGCGCUGCUGCGGAGAAAAGCGUCUCCCGGGUUGUACUGGAAGAGUAUUUUGGGGGUGCCAGACAUAGGGCGCUCAGAGGACCCUCUGAGACGGAAUACUACCUCGCUCAGACGGAGCCCAGGCAGAGCCGGAAGCUGCCAGCAGGUGGCAGGAUCCGACCGUUUCCAGCUUCUGGGGCAGCUUGAAUUCUCUCCUCCCUGUAAUCAGCUGAAAUCAAGGCCCAGAAAGGAGGUGAGGAAGUCCGGGGUCCCAGUCCACGGGCCUGCCCUAAUCCCGGCGUCGUGGCACUUCCCAGUCCUCCUCUCGGGCCUGGACGGCGCUGCAAGCCCUGGAGGCAGGGGCCGUCCUCUUCCUCCCCGGUUUGUUCCCGAGACAGCUCUGUGACACCUGCUUACUCCUCCUCUGAGCCCCGCCUCCUCCGAGCUUCAGACCAUUUCCUCUGGACGGUUUCUCAGAGGUGAGGCCGCGCCGAGGAGCAGACCCUUCCCCUCCCUCCCCUGAGCUUCCUGCAGCCCAGGAAGCAAGGCCGGGCUCUCCUGCAGGGAACUGGGCUUCGCAUUCUGCCCUGCCACUCUGGCUGGCUCUCUCGGAAUUUCACCUACUUUUGCUGCUAAUUAACUUAAAUCAAUCGCCAGCACUGCGGAAAAAAAAGUGAAAAGAAAUAAAAACAAAAAUAGAGGGUUACUAAUAGUGCCUCCUUUCUACAAAUACAGCCUCAGUAAUCCUCGCGCUCCUC
rnacentral:lncRNA from 1 species